CUGGUUACAGACCAGGUACUGACAGGCAGCACCAGGACUCUAAAGAUUUGGACCUUUAUUCAUCUGCAAAGAUAAUCAGCAUCACCAGACACCCCAGUCC